CGUAAUGAUGGCCAGGCUGUCUCCACCCGAGACUCAGUGAAAUUGAACUCGCUGUGAAGAUGCAGUGUACCCGCGGCAAGACGGAAAGACCCCGUGAACCUUUACUAUAGCUUGACACUGAACAUUGAGCCUUGAUGUGUAGGAUAGGUGGGAGGCUUUGAAGUGUGGACGCCAGUCUGCAUGGAGCCGACCUUGAAAUACCACCCUUUAAUGUUUGAUGUUCUAACGUUGGCCCGU
rnacentral:rRNA from 1 species